rnacentral:rRNA from 1 species
GAUGAACGCUGGCGGCGUGCCUAAUACAUGCAAGUCGAGCGAACGGACGAGAAGCUUGCUUCUCUGAUGUUAGCGGCGGACGGGUGAGUAACACGUGGAUAACCUACCUAUAAUACUGGGAUAACUUCGGGAAACCGGAGCUAAUACCGGCUAAUAUUUUGAACCGCAUGGUUCAAAAGUUAAAGACGGUCUUGCUGUCACUUAUAGAUGGAUCCGCGCUGCAUUAGCUAGUUGGUAAGGUAACGGCUUACCAAGGCAACGAUGCAUAGCCGACCUGAGAGGGUGAUCGGCCACACUGGAACUGAGACACGGUCCAGACUCCUACGGGAGGCAGCAGUAGGGAAUCUUCCGCAAUGGGCGAAAGCCUGACGGAGCAACGCCGCGUGAGUGAUGAAGGUCUUCGGAUCGUAAAACUCUGUUAUUAGGGAAGAACAUAUGUGUAAGUAACUGUGCACAUCCUGACGGUACCUAAUCAGAAAGCCACGGCUAACUACGUG